rnacentral:lncRNA from 1 species
UGAACUGCCUGGCUUUGAAAGUACUCUGGGGCUUUUUCAGAAAUCCCUUGUACAGACCCUCAGAAGCGGUGUCUCUCCACCUGCCUUCUGUUUGUCUCACGUUUUGCUGUCUUAGGGUAUUUUCUAGAUGGUGUGCCAUCAUCACCCUGAUCCUUCUACCUACCUCCCAGUUGCUUGGAUUACAGGGUUGUACCACCAUACCUCCUUUGUACAUGCCAGGGGAGCACUGUACCAACCGAGCCACAUGCCCAGUCCUAGACAGUGCAUCUUGUAAAUUUUUUUAUAAUUUGUAUAUUAUAAAAAUAGAAAGUAGAAAAGUAAGCAUCAGCGCUUGGGUCAUGUGAUCUGGAAGUAUAGACACUGAUGAAGUAAGUUAGCAGUAUUUGCAGGGUAGACUGACUCAGAGGUUAGGAAACGCAAUGCUAAACCCUGCCACCAUGUUCCUGCUGCUUCAAGGCUUUGAAUAAACACUAUCCUGGCUGAGCUCUAGUUAUUAGAUCUGUAGGUAACAAUAUAUGCCAAAUAAUUUAGGGCAGAGGGAGCGUGUAACAACAAUACAGUGAUGGGCACAGUUAACUGCCUACAGGAUGGGUUGGCGGCCAUGGUAUAAUUGACUACACACCCCUCUCACCACAGUAACCAAAGCUUUUGUUCACACAGCACUUGUUCCAUUUAUCCAGCAGACAUUUCCAAGUAUAUAUUAUUCAAUUAUUUAUUCUUCACUUCAAUUAGUGUGUAUUAAGAGAUCGGGGAUUCCAAAGAGACUACCCUCGGGGAGUCGUCUGCUACAGAGACCAAGACAAUCAGGCAAACAAUUCUGCUAGAAUGGGGAGUUUGAAUUGUAUCCUGAGUGCUAAGAAGCCCGGCCAGGAUUGCAGCCAGGGCCAUGCUUAUAGAAAUAAGUUACAUUUUAGAGUUGUUAUGUUAGCACCAGUGUUGUGGGUGAGUGGAAAAUAGAGCCAGAUCACUAUUAAGUGGAAUGAUGAAAACUGUUUCGGAUCAGAACUCAGACAACAGAAAUAGAGCAAUUGAAAUAGCUUCAGGGAGUACGCAGACUGCAGAGGCAAUAAGAUCCUGAAUUUGAGCCCAGCCUGGGCUAGGCUACAUAGGAAGUUGUAGGCCACUUUGACUACAUAGUCAAACAAGUUCGGGGCACAAGAAGAGAAGGUGGGGUGGUUUAGAGUAAAAUCUAUUCCUUUCUAGGUCUGUGUAUCCAGUGACUGCUGUGGAUGAGUAAGUCUGGAAACUCCAUAAACCACCUACUGAAUUCUCUAGGUCAUCCUGCCUCCGCCCCAUGACCUUUAAGACUGUUUUCAGUCAUCCUGUCUGCCAGCUUUGAGUCUGUGGUAUGCUUCUUCUAGCUUGUGUGGUUAGUUAGCUAAUGUGUUUUGCAUUCAGCCAAGGAAAUUCAAAAGACUGUCUCUGAAAGUCAGCAAAGGUAGGCAUGCUGUCCAAGUUACAAAUGGCAGGCUUGCUGAGUUCUCAGAACAAUGAUUGAACAAACCACUCACUAAUUUUAGGCUGGGAGAGCAUACAACACAAAUUGAGUUUUCCAUUGUACAUAAUGUCCUUCCUAGACAUUCUAUAGCCUUUGGAACUGUCUUCUGGCUUGCCAGCUCUUGGCCAUCUUAAAGGCUCAUAUCCUCACUCAUCAUCAUAUUAAGUGUGGUCAAGAGUUUUGUUUUGAAUAUUUUAACUUUCUGCACUGGAUCAUCUGGACCUCAAAGGUUAUGGGAGCUUAGCAUAUCUUUUUAUGUCCCUAAUGGAGCUGGGCAGCAGUAAGACUUGCAUCCAUGUUACACAUGAGUGCAUAAGCUGUGUAGUGGCACACAGGACCACAGAGGUCUCAUGAGUUACCACCUUCAAGCUUGUACACAAGAACUGUAGUGUUCCAUACUGCAUCUUCAUGGCUCCCACUUGUAUGUAUACAUUUACCAAAAAGGACUAGUGUACAUCAGAUACAUCCUGAUCUGCUCCUGCUCACAUGGGUGCAGUCUAUAACUAAAGUUCCAUUUGGUCUUUGACAGGAAAUUUUCAGAUGGCUUUUUGAGCCCCACUUCUGGUACUUUUUCAAACUUCCUAGAACUAUGAACAAGCCAUCAAGUGUAUGCAUAUUUCACAGUGACUGAUAUCCAUAGCACUAUAUACCCUCAUACACUGCAUAUUUUUCUUAAAUAUAGAUGUGCCCAUUUAUACCUACUACUUUGUAGACUGGCCCUAACUCCUACAUUUCUCCAUUGGAUUUCCAUGCAAAUCUUUUCAACAUGAAGAACUGAUGGUAUUACUGUUUUAUAAAAU